rnacentral:rRNA from 1 species
UUGCCUGCACCUGCCGGCGACCGGCGCACGGGUGAGUAACACGUAUGGAACCUGCCCGCCACAGGGGGAUAACCCGGGGAAACCCGGCCUAAUACCCCAUGCCGCCCGGACCGGGCAUCCGGUCCGGGCGAAAGGAGGAAUCCGGUGGCGACUGGGCAUGCGGCGCAUUAGCUUGACGGCGGGGUAACGGCCCACCGUGGCGACGAUGCGUAGGGGUUCUGAGAGGAAGGCCCCCCACACUGGAACUGAGACACGGUCCAGACUCCUACGGGAGGCAGCAG